rnacentral:tRNA from 1 species
GGAAGGUUAGUUUAUUUGUAUAAAAUACCAAUUUGUCAUGUUGGAGAAGUUCGACGAGACCACCUUUCU